rnacentral:rRNA from 1 species
GGAAUUGUUCGCAAUGGGCGCAAGCCUGACGACGCAACGCCGCGUGGAGGAUGAAGGUCUUCGGAUUGUAAACUCCUGUUGAUCGGGAAGAAUGGACCCCGGGUUAAUACGCCGGGGUAUUGACGGUACCGAUUGAGGAAGCCACGGCUAACUCUGUGCCAGCAGCCGCGGUAAUACAGAGGUGGCAAGCGUUGUUCGGAAUUACUGGGCGUAAAGGGCGCGUAGGCGGUCGCCUCAGUCGGACGUGAAAUCCCCAAGCUUAACUUGGGAACUGCGUCCGAUACUGGGUGACUUGAGUUCGGGAGAGGAAUGUGGAAUUCCAGGUGUAGCGGUGAAAUGCGUAGAUAUCUGGAGGAACACCGGUGGCGAAGGCGGCCGACUGGGCCGAAUCUGACGCUGAGGCGCGAAAGCGUGGGGAGCAAAC